GACAGAUUUUAAAGGGGAUGAUAAUGAGGCUGAGGUUGCUAUUGCUUGCAAAGGAUCGAUUGAGUUGCAUUUUGACGAAAGUAGGAUUUGUUAUAAGAACAAACCAGGGUUUGCAUGCACAACUGAAUCUUAGAAGAGACUUGAC